AGUGAACGCUGGCGGCAGGCCUAAUACAUGCAAGUCGAACGGCAGCACAGCAGAGCUUGCUCUGUGGGUGGCGAGUGGCGGACGGGUGAGGAAUACGUGGGAAUCUGCCCAGUCGUGGGGGAUAACGUAGGGAAACUUACGCUAAUACCGCAUGCGCCCUUCGGGGAAAGCCGGAGACCUUCGGGCCUGGCGCGAUUGGAUGAGCCCACGUCGGAUUAGCUAGUUGGCGGGGUAAAGGCCCACCAAGGCGACGAUCCGUAGCUGGUCUGAGAGGACGAUCAGCCACACUGGAACUGAGACACGGUCCAGACUCCUACGGGAGGCAGCAGUAGGGAAUAUUGGACAAUGGGCGCAAGCCUGAUCCAGCCAUGCCGCGUGAGUGAAGAAGGCCCUCGGGUUGUAAAGCUCUUUGUCCGGGAAGAAAAGCGCCGGGUUAAUACCCUGGUGUCCUGACGGUACCGGAAGAAUAAGACACCGGCUAACUUCGUGCCAGCAGCCGCGGUAAU
rnacentral:rRNA from 1 species